rnacentral:misc_RNA from 1 species
AACGCACCUUGCGCCCCUUGGUAUUCCGAGGGGCAUGCCUGUUUGAGUGUCAUUAAAUUCUCAACCCCGGUUGACUUGUCGUUGACUUUCGGGGCUUGGACUUGGGGGCGUGCCGGCGAAAGCGGGCUCCCCUGAAAAGCAUCAGCGGAACUUUCAUCUUUGAACUUCUGGACGUCAGCGUGAUAAUGGUGUUGCGCUGUCCGCUUCCGGAGGUCGAAGCCCCGCUCACAAUGGUCUUCGGACAAUUUGUCAUCACAUUUUGACCUCAGAUCAGGUAGGACUACCCGCUGAACUUAA